CGUGUAGGCGGUUUGUUAAGUCUGAUGUGAAAGCCCCGGGCUCAACCUGGGAAGUGCAUUGGAUACUGGCAGACUUGAAUACGGGAGAGGGUAGUGGAUUCCUGGUGUAGGAGUGAAAUCCGUAGAUAUCAGGAGGAACACCGGUGGCGAAGGCGGCUACCUGGACCGAUAUUGACGCUGAGACGCGAAAGCGUGGGGAGCAAACAGGAUUAGAUACCCUGGUAGUCCACGCCGUAAACGAUGAGUACUAGGUGUUGCGGGUAUUGACCCCUGCAGUGCCGCAGCUAACGCAUUAAGUACUCCGCCUGGGAAGUACGGUCGCAAGACUAAA
rnacentral:rRNA from 1 species